GACGAACGCUGGCGGCGUGCUUAACACAUGCAAGUCGAACGAUGAACUUGGAGCUUGCUCUGGGGGAUUAGUGGCGAACGGGUGAGUAACACGUGAGUAACCUGCCCUGGACUCUGGGAUAACUUCGAGAAAUCGGAGCUAAUACCGGAUAGGACCUUGCACCGCAUGGGGUGGGGUGGAAAGUUUUUCGGUUUGGGAUGGACUCGCGGCCUAUCAGCUUGUUGGUGAGGUAAUGGCUCACCAAGGCGUCGACGGGUAGCCGGCCUGAGAGGGUGGCCGGCCACACUGGGACUGAGACACGGCGCAGACUCCUACGGGAGGCAGCAGUGGGGAAUAUUGCACAAUGGGCGCAAGCCUGAUGCAGCAACGCCGCGUGCGGGAUGACGGCCUUCGGGUUGUAAACCGCUUUUAGUAGGGAAGAAGCCUUCGGGUGACGGUACCUGCAGAAAAAGGACCGGCUAACUACGUGCCAGCCGCCGCUGUAAUAC
rnacentral:rRNA from 1 species